UACGGGGGGGGCAAGCGUUGUUCGGAAUUACUGGGCGUAAAGGGCGCGUAGGCGGCCUGUUAAGUCGAACGUGAAAUCCCUCGGCUUAACCGGGGAACUGCGUCUGAUACUGGAUGGCUUGAAUCCGGGAGAGGGAUGCGGAAUUCCAGGUGUAGCGGUGAAAUGCGUAGAUAUCUGGAGGAACACCGGUGGCGAAGGCGGCAUCCUGGACCGGCAUUGACGCUGAGGAGCGAAAGCCAGGGGAGCAAACGGG
rnacentral:rRNA from 1 species